CGUAAUAUUCGGAAAUAUUGAUGGAGUGUCCUGUCUAGGACGGGAGGAUCUCGCGGCUGUCGACAAUUGCAGAUGAGGCAGUGAGUGCUGCAGGCUAGUCACGUGACCCGUACAACCUGUCACCCUAGCGCCUAAAUAAGUCUCUUGUUGUAGAAAAAGUCGUAUAAGUUGCUUCACCUUCCUAAUACUUUUGAGUCUUUUUUCCACUUAAUUUUCCUCUCUCUCUCUCCCAACAUGCGUGCUGGGGGGCACACACACACAAAGACAUAUUUUCUCUAUUUCACAGUUUUAUAUAUUGCCUUCCUUUUGAGGUAUGACUUUACAAUCCCUCAAUAACAAUAUUUCUCAAAACCUUAGGACAGAAACACAGCUACUCGCAAAGCACUGAUCCUCUCCAAAGUUUCUUUCCUUUCGAAUCGAGUUAUGUGUUAUUAACAGUUUUAUUGGGAACCUCAAGUUCAUAAUCAAUCCAUUGUCAAAUACAGCUGUGCGUACUCCUGUCACCACACUACCAUUUACUGGCUAAAAAAAUAUAAUUCUUUCAAAUUUCAGGAGGAAGGUUGAUCUUUAAAAACUUUAUGAAAUAUGUUUGAAUCAUGGAGUAUUUGGCUCGUGCGUACUGCUUGAUUUUUUGGCGGGAUGUUUGACAAAUAGAAAAAUACUAAUUGAAGGAAAUCUUUUUCCAUAAAUAUCUUUAUCUCUUUCAUACUCUUUGACUUCACAUGAUAGAUAUAUUUAUAAUUAUAAGUGACCAACCAGUUCAGUAACUGAGAUCUCUUGUCGGGUGUCUGUGGGUAUGUAUAUGCCAGCGCAUGUCUCGGGGAAAUUUUCUCACUUAUCCGACUUCAUUCAGUACUGAGUACACGCGCAGUCGGGAAUCUGUGACGUCAGUCUCUGAUGUCCCGUUCUGCUUUAUGUGACCCCGGGGUCAGGGAAACUGUCGAGCCGUGUCUGCGGUGUGAGUCCACGUCCGGCCGGAGCCACUUGAAGGGACUUUGCGGGCGGAAACGAUAAACUCUGUUUCACCUGUUGGAAAACUUUCCACAAAAUGUCAGAGUGCGUGGCUUUACCGCGCUACACGCGCAAUCUCCCCUCUACACUGGAACCUCAUUAGAACGUCUGGCGAGUGUCCGAGAGUGAAACUUGUUUACGAGGGUGUAAAACUCGCGUUUAUUGGACAAUCAGGAAAAAACAUCAUACACAGACCAGUCCGUCUCGCCAGAUGUCCUGUGAUAUGAAGGAGGACCUCUUGUGCUCAGUCUGUCCAGAAUCACUGACGUGGAUGUCCCCAUGUCCCGCUCCAUCCUCUGCUACCUCCACUCAAUGUUGAAUGUGAAAGGAGGUCCACUGUAUGUGAUCAGCCUCACCCUGAGAAUGUAAAGACGCUGUUUCCAAAAAUAAACCUUGUCGGUAAAAGGUUUCUGCAUUUCGUGAUUCACAUCAAGUUAGCAUCCAUCCUACUAAACAUCAUCCAAACAGCAAACGUUCAAAAUAAAAUUCCAAUCAAAUAUCAA